CCUGGUUGAUCCUGCCAGUAGUCAUAUGCUUGUCUCAAAGAUUAAGCCAUGCAUGUCUAAGUACAGGCUUUGGUACAGCGAAACCGCGAAUGGCUCAUUAAAUCAGCUAUAAUUUAUUAGAUUGUUCUUUACUUGGAUAACUGUGGGAAUUCUAGAGCUAAUACAUGCACAAAAGCUCCGACCUUCGGGAAGGAGUGCAGUUAUUAGACCAAAACCAGCCGAGCUUCGGCUCGAACUGUUUGGUGACUCUGGAUAACGAUGAGCGGAUCGCAUGGCCUUGAGCCGGCGACGUAUCUUUCAAGUGUCUGACCUAUCAACUGACGAUGGUACGCGAUAUGCCUACCAUGGUGAUAACGGGUAACGGAGAAUAAGGGUUCGACUCCGGAGAGGGAGCCUGAGAAAUGGCUACCACAUCCAAGGAUGGCAGCAGGCGCGCAAAUUACCCACUCUCAGUACGAGGAGGUAGUGACGAAAAAUAACAAUGCGGGACUCAUCAGAGGCCUCGCAAUUGGAAUGAGCGCACUUUAAAUCGUUCGACGAGGAUCUAUUGGAGGGCAAGUCUGGUGCCAGCAGCCGCGGUAAUUCCAGCUCCAAUAGCGUAUAUUAAAGUUGUUGCAGUUAAAAAGCUCGUAGUUGGAUCUGGGGUUCGGGUCGGCGGUUUGCCGCUUCGGCGGCUACUGCCGUGCUCGACUCUUACUAGCCGGUGCGUCUUGCGGUGCUCUUCAUCGAGUGCCGUAGGAGCCUGGCAUGUUUACUUUGAAAAAAUUAGAGUGCUCAAAGCAGGCGAUUCCGCCUGAAUAGUGUUGCAUGGAAUAAUGGAAUAGGACCUCGGUUCUAUUUUGUUGGUUUUCGGAACUUGAGGUAAUGAUUAAGAGGGACGGUCGGGGGCAUUCGUAUUUCGGUGUUAGAGGUGAAAUUCUUGGAUCGCUGAAAGACGGACAAAUGCGAAAGCAUCUGCCAAGAACGUCUCCAUUAAUCAAGAACGAAAGUCAGAGGUUCGAAGACGAUCAGACACCGUCCUAGUUCUGACCAUAAACGAUGCCAACUAGCGAUCCGCAGUGGUUGCUAUAAACGGACUCUGCGAGCAGCUUCCGGGAAACCAAAGUGUUUGGGUUCCGGGGGAAGUAUGGUUGCAAAGCUGAAACUUAAAGGAAUUGACGGAAGGGCACCACCAGGAGUGGAGCCUGCGGCUUAAUUUGACCCAACACGGGGAAACUCACCCGGUCCGGACACUGUAAGGAUUGACAGAUCGAGAGCUCUUUCUUGAUUCGGUGGAUGGUGGUGCAUGGCCGUUCUUAGUUGGUGGAGUGAUUUGUCUGGUUAAUUCCGAUAACGAACGAGACUCUAGCCUGCUAACUAGUUGCGCCGUGUUCAUACGCGGCUGUAGACUUCUUAGAGGGACAGGUGGCGU
rnacentral:rRNA from 1 species